rnacentral:rRNA from 1 species
UACGUAUGGUGCAAGCGUUAUCCGGAUUUACUGGGUGUAAAGGGAGCGUAGGCGGCGCGUUAAGUCUGAUGUGAAAACCCGAGGCUCAACCACGGGAGUGCAUUGGAAACUGGCGGGCUGGAGUGCCGGAGAGGUAAGCGGAAUUCCUAGUGUAGCGGUGAAAUGCGUAGAUAUUAGGAGGAACACCAGUGGCGAAGGCGGCUUACUGGACGGCAACUGACGCUGAUGCACGAAAGCGUGGGUAUCAAACAGG